GAUCUGGUGGACUAGUGGCUAGAGCAUCCACCUCAGAUGUGGGAAGGUCAUGGGUUCGAACCCCGGUUGAGUCA